rnacentral:sRNA from 1 species
AGGAGGAGGGGCCGGCAGCCUGGAAGGGAAAGGACAGCGGAGAGCAGGGCAGAGCCUGAGCAGGCAGGACACCUCCAGGUGGGCAGGAGCUCCCACUCAGCACCAUGAGCACCGCCACAGGCCCAGAAGCUGCCCCGAAGCCAAGCGCCAAGUCUAUCUAUGAGCAGAGGAAGCGUUACUCCACAGUUGUUAUGGCUGAUGUAUCCCAGUACCCAGUCAAUCACCUGGUGACGUUCUGCCUGGGUGAGGACGAUGGCGUGCACACCGUGGAGGAUGCCUCCAGGAAGCUGGCCGUCAUGGAUAGCCAGGGCCGAGUCUGGGCACAGGAGAUGCUGCUGCGAGUGUCUCCCGACCAUGUCACGCUGCUCGACCCGGCCUCCAAGGAGGAGCUGGAGUCGUACCCACUGGGCGCCAUCGUGCGCUGUGACGCCGUGAUGCCACCCGGCAGGAGCCGCUCGUUGCUGCUGCUCGUGUGCCAGGAACCCGAGCGCGCGCAGCCAGACGUGCACUUCUUCCAGGGCCUGCGCCUCGGGGCGGAGCUGAUCCGAGAGGACAUCCAGGGGGCUCUGCACAAUUACCGCUCGGGCCGCGGGGAGCGCAGGGCGGCGGCGCUCAGGGCCACGCAGGAGGAGUUGCAGCGCGACCGCUCGCCCGCCGCUGAGACCCCGCCCCUGCAGCGCCGUCCGUCAGUCCGCGCAGUGAUCAGCACCGUAGAGCGGGGCGCGGGCCGCGGACGACCCCAGGCGAAGCCCAUUCCCGAGGCAGAGGAGGCGCAGAGGCCUGAGCCGGUGGGGACCUCGAGCAACGCUGACUGGGCCUCCCCAGACCUGGGUCCCCGGGGUCCUGACCUGGCGGUUCUGCAGGCGGAGCGGGAAGUGGACAUCCUGAACCACGUGUUCGACGACGUAGAGAGCUUUGUAUCGAGGCUGCAGAAGUCGGCGGAGGCGGCCAGGGUGCUAGAGCACCGGGAACGCGGCCGCAGGACACGGCGCCGGGCGGCUGGGGAGGGCCUGCUGACGCUGCGGGCCAAGCCGCCUUCGGAGGCCGAGUACACCGACGUGCUGCAGAAGAUCAAGUACGCCUUCAGCCUGCUGGCCCGGCUGCGCGGCAACAUCGCCGACCCCUCCUCUCCGGAGCUGUUGCACUUCCUUCUCGGGCCUCUGCAGAUGAUUGUGAACACGUCGGGGGGGCCGGAGUUCGCGAGCAGCGUGCGGCGGCCGCACCUGACAUCGGAUGCCGUGGCGCUGCUGCGGGACAACGUCACUCCAUGUGAAAACGAGCUCUGGACCUCGCUGGGGGACUCGUGGACCCGCCCCGGGCUGGAGCUGCCUCCGGACGAGGGACCCCCAUACAGACCCGAGUUCUUCAGCGGCUGGGAGCCGCCGGUCACUGACCCGCAGGGCCGCGCCUGGGAGGACCCAGUUGAGAAACAGCUACAGCACGAGCGGAGGCGCCGGCAGCAAAGCGCCCCCCAGGUCGCUGUCAAUGGGUGGGUGAGAUGGUGAUGGGGUGGGCUGGGGCCGGGAGAGAGGGAGGAGCAGGGAGGGAGGGGGGAGGGACCUAGACUUCUGGGGCCAAGGGAGGAGGGAAUGGAGACCCGGGUUCCCGGGCCUAAGGGAGGAAAGGGGCUGGGAGUGGGUAAAGUCUGAAAGGUUGGAUCCCUGGAUCCCCAAAAGGCUGGAAGAAGGCAGUUUGUUUUCCUAGGGCCU